UUCGUAGGUGGCGAGCGUUGUCCGGAUUUACUGGGCGUAAAGGGAGCGUAGGCGGACUUUUAAGUGAGAUGUGAAAUACUCGGGCUUAACUUGUAGACUGCAGUUGAAACUGGUUUUCUUGAGUGAAGUAGAGGUUGGCGGAAUUCCGAGUGUAGCGGUGAAAUGCGUAGAUAUUCGGAGGAACACCGGUGGCGAAGGCGGCCAACUGGGCUUUAACUGACGCUGAGGCUCGAAAGUGUGGGGAGCAAACAGG
rnacentral:rRNA from 1 species